AGGACGAACGCUGGCGGCGUGCUUAACACAUGCAAGUCGAGCGGAAAGGCCCUUCGGGGUACUCGAGCGGCGAACGGGUGAGUAACACGUGAGCAACCUGCCCCUGGCUCUGGGAUAGCCUCCGGAAAACGGGGAUUAAUACCGGACAUUCUCCUCCUUCCGCAUGGUUGGGGGUGGAAAGUUUUUCGGCCAGGGAGGGGCUCGCGGCCUAUCAGCUUGUUGGCGGGGUAACGGCCCACCAAGGCGACGACGGGUAGCCGGCCUGAGAGGGCGACCGGCCACACUGGGACUGAGACACGGCCCAGACUCCUACGGGAGGCAGCAGUGGGGAAUAUUGCGCAAUGGGCGAAAGCCUGACGCAGCGACGCCGCGUGGGGGAUGAAGGCCUCGGGUUGUAAACCCCUUUCACCAGGAGCGAAUCAAGACGGUACCUGGGGAAGAAGCGCCGGCUAACUACGCGCCAGCAGCCGC
rnacentral:rRNA from 1 species